AGAAGAGAGAGAAAAGAGAAAAGGCAAAAGGGUUAUUGGCGGUGGUUUUGCCGGUGGAGGGAAGAUUUUGUAUUCGGAUCUCCUUUCCGUCCGUUUCUUGGUGCCGGUGGAGGGAAGACUUCCGUAUUUGAAUCUCCUUUUCUGCCCGUCUGUUCUUAUAUAUUUUCAGUAAAGAUUUGUCUUUAUUUGUAGUUUCGUUUACUGAUCUUUUGUUCGUUUGGUUUUGGAUUUUGGUGUGUGAGACUUCCUAUGACUACUACAUAGGGAGGGAGUUUUUUUCGCUAAUGUCGAUAACUAGAGACCGCACUGCUAUGUUCGGCAAUUAACGCUCUCGGCCAGCUCUAUUGCAUCAUCUCUUUCAAGUUGUGGUCGUCCUAUUGGAGAUUCAACCUUCUUGCUAUUCUUGGAUGGUUAGUUGAUGGUUCGGACCCGAGGAACCGAGGACCCCAGCAGUGAGAUUGCUGCUUUCGAGUCUUGUCAGAGCUAGCCAGAGGUUUGCAGGUACGGGCUAGUCCAUGAGGUCAGCAAGAUUAGAAGUGUUAUGUAAUAGCUAGUGGUGGACAUGAUGAUUAUUGAAAUGUAUAGUAUUGAAUAAUUAUGUAAUGUAAUGAUGUUAAUGAGGAUUAGAGUGGUGCUUGACCCUAGUAUGUGGUUUAUCCCUUUUAAUACAUGAUCUUUCAAAUGUAAUGAUAUUUUAUGAACCAAACUUAAUGUAUGAAUGAAUGUUUCCCA